AACCCAACGAAAAGUAAGUCUCAGUUCGGAUUGAAGGCUGAAAUUCGCCUUCAUGAAGCCGGAAUUGCUAGUAAUGGCAGGUCAGCAUACUGCCGUGAAUACGUUCCCGGGCCUUGUACACACCGCCCGUCGCACCAUGAGAGUUGGGAAUACCCGAAGCCUGUGAGUCAACCGUAAGGGGGCAGCAGUCGAAGGUAGAAUCAAUGAUUGGGGUGAAGUCGUAACAAGGUAUC
rnacentral:rRNA from 1 species